GCACUGCCGAGGAGUCCCACAAUAGAACGAAAUGGCUAUCCAGUGU
rfam:Schistosoma curassoni strain Dakar, Senegal genome assembly, scaffold: SCTD_contig0008293